rnacentral:lncRNA from 1 species
GUGCCCAAGUCCUUGAAGAAACUGAGGAGAUUGAGAGUGGUUUGGUCGUAGCCAAGGGUGGUUUUGAUGUCGCCUGAGUAGAGACCGAACAUGUAGGUGGCUCCAGCAGCAGCCAUGAUUAGAAAGGAGGCAAAGACGACGAACCAUCUACCAGUGAUGACUUGGAGGGUGAGACUCUUCAUGUCUCUCCAUCCAUGAACACCCAUGGAAGCUGCACCUAUCGCCAUGUUUGUGGAUACCAAGCACAAAAUAGCUAGCAGGCACAGUGCAAGUGCAUAUUCGUGGAAAUUGAAGUCAAUAUAUAUAGUGUGUGUGACUGUAUUUUUAAAAUACAUCAACCAGAGUUGACCGUUACGUUAUUUAAGCCAAUCUCCGUCAUGAUAUUAUAACAUUAGAGAAUCUAUAACACUUCCAUUUUUUCAAUUUUUCAUGAUAUCACCUUUCAUAGAAAAUGUUUUGUGAAUUCACAGCCACCAAAUUAGUAUAUACAUAUAAACCUGGAAAAUGAAAACUGUAAUAGACAGAUAACAUAAUUGAAAUAAGAGAGGAAAUGAGAAUUUAUCAAUGAAGUAUAGUCAAUGAUUAAUAUUUUAACUAUUUUAAUUUUAAUUUUAAUUAGAAAUAUUAUAAUAUUAUUAUAAAGGGAUGUGGAGUAGUGUUAUUUACUGUUUCUAGUCUUCACAAAAUAUACACAUGGAAUAUACAUGGAGAUCCCAAAUCGACUAGAGAUUAGAGCCUUUUAUUAUAUAUAAGUGGGUUCAAACCUCAAUCUCAUGAGCCGUUUUAUGGGAUUGAGUUAGGCUUAAAGUCCUAACAUGGUAUCAGAGCAUGUUUUCGAGCCUAUCCUAACGAGUAUUUGUUGGACCUAUCGUGCCACCCGCUAUCGGACCAUCCAUAAUAUAUAGUCCACCUCAAUACCACAGAAGUUUUCUUAACACUGUGAACAUAGUAAAUAGCACUAUUCAAUAACCUUUAUAAUAAUAUUAUAGUAUUUUUAAUUAAAAUUCAUUUUCUGAUAUGAAAGUAAACUCUGGUGCAGAUUACUAGAUAGUUUUCCAGAUAUGGAAUAUAGAAGACAGAGGUGGUGUCUGAGAUUCCUUAAGUGUAUGAAAUCCUAAACAUAAUCUGUUUCUGAUUUUGUAAGCUGCCAUUUCUGAUUUGUAGCCACAAUUUUUGGGAUCUUAUGAACCCUUUCAUAUCAUAUGUAACAGCUAUCUAAUAAAUCAUUCUCACCAAAAUUUUCCACCAUUUCCCACUCUAUCUUAAUUCUCUUUUUAUCUUUCUUUAUUCUUCCAUUCCUUGCUGUAACAUUUGACCUCGUCGUGCCAAAAAAAUUAAGUCAUACUGUCACUGUAUUCAGUCACUGAAAAUUGAAAUGGUUCUAUAAUAUUCAAAAGGAAAAUGAUUGACAGCGAUAAUUCUUCCAUUAGAUUUAUUUGGAGUAUUUUUAAAAAUUCAUUUUCUGAUUUGGAUUUCAAAAAAGAAGAAGUAAUUCCAAUUUAAAAUCAGGAGAAAUUACCAUAAAUUUUAAUUUUUAGAUGUAGAAAUCAGAUCAAAUAUGGUAAGACUCUUUAGGGAUUUUUUUUACUAUUAUUUACCUUAGUACAGAGUUUAUUUAGUGAAUUUAAAAUAAAACAUUUUAAUUGAAUUCAAACGUGAGAUAAUUUUGUUUCAUUAAAAUUUAAACUAGAGUCAUAUUUGCAAAUCAAAGGUUGAAUUAAAAUUUUGCUAUUACUUAAGUUUGAGGGCAAAUGUGGAAGUAGGAUAAGUUCAAUACUUAGUCUAACUUUAUAUUUUAAUGUCUAAGAUAACUUUAACCUUUAUGAUAACUUUCCGGAAAUGUAUUUUAUAACAACGUGUUUAAACAAAACAUAUAUUUCUUAAGAUUUUUUAUAUGUAAUUAUAGCAUAUGUUUAAUUUAAUCUUAAUUAUAAGAUUUAUGUUUAGACGCACAUUAGUGUGUAAUCAAACCAGCUCAUAAGCAACAGGGCGGCUAGGUAUGAAAGACUUGGAAUUAUUUAUUACUAUUAUUAUUAUUAUUAUUAUUAAAUUAAAGAAAGUGGUUGACCCUGGAAUAUUGGGUUCUUCCUUAGUGUGGAAUCUGGAUCUGGUGAAUAUGGUGAUAAGAAACGUAGAAGACUCUGAAAAGUAAUUAUGGCUAAUUAAUCCAAGUCAACAAUUCCAUAUAAUAUAUUCUUUAAGAAAAAAUCAAGGAUAUAAACCAAUUGUAUGUCACAUUUUAUAUAUCCAUAAUCAGUGUAGAAAAUUCUUCAAAAAUAAUAAUAAUUAAUAGCUUAUUAUAAGUUUCUCUUAAUUAUGGAGAAGAUGUUAAACAAGAAAAAUAAAAAUAUAUCUAUUAUCGUUUAAAAUAGUUACUUUUAAGUUACUGAAUUCAAAUUUCCCUUUUCUAAUUGCGUUAUAUAUAUUGCUGAUAAAAAAAUAUGUAAAGAACAACUAUUACAACUAUUAGAAGAGAGUUUAAAGUUCAUGAAAAAGGGAAAUUGCGUUGUUAAAUUAAAAAAUUACAUAUAAAAGCCGAAACAAUUUGAUUUUUCUAUUUCUCUAAAAUUAUAAUUUUCCUUAAAAAUAAAGAUUCUAUUUUUUCUCUACGUUUUCUUUAGAGUUUUCUUAAAAUUUUAACAAUUAAAAAAAAAAGCAUUUAUGCAAUGUUAGUUUUUACUGUUGCACUGCUUAUUAGGAUAAAAAGGAGGGGUCAUUCUUGUUCGGCUUAGUUCUGAGGUGUGAUUAGCUGUAGUGGUGGUGUAAUUAGUUGUUAAAGGUGUUGUGGCUAGUAACUGCUAUUAUAAUAUAAAAAAUAAUUACUUUCCAUCCUAACACUCACAAAUUUCAAUAAAAAAAUUUGUAUAUUCAUUCUAAUAUAUUAUAAUCCAAAUAACUUAACUUCAUAUUUUUCUCUCAAAUCUUCAUAUUAACUCCUUCAAUUCUUAACACAUUUGCACCCCAAAUCAAACAUCACCUUAAAUCAAAGUAAUAAGUCAUGAUGAAUCAUAAAUAAUAUAAAUUAUUGAUUAAAAAUAUUAAUCAAUAAAAAAUAAAUUAAUAACUUACUCCUUAGUCAACAAUCAACAUGUCCAUGGUCAUCACCACUCAAUUGGUGGCAUGUCGACCAUACUCCAUCCAAUCACUACGACCAACCUUGCCAUAAAGAUGGCAAUAGGGGUGGGGCUCUACAGUAUGAAUACGAUGGCAAUACGAUUUAAACAAACCAUUAAUGAGUAUUUGUUAAAUAUAAGAUUUAAACAAGAAUUAAAAAAUAUUUUCGAUCAUAUAUUUAAGCUAAAAAUAGUUUUAUAUUUGAAAAUAUUUGUACUAAAGAUAAAUUAAAACAAUUUAAUUUAUGUGUUUGAAAUAUAUACCAUUUGUCAAGUAUUAUUAAGUUAACUAAAUUAGUGUAACGAGGCUAAAGAAAAAACUAAUUUAACCUGACAGAUAAAAUUUAAAAAUUUAAAUCGACGGGGAAGAAAAAUUCUACUUACUCAUUAUAUUUCUCAAUUCUGCUUGCGUGAUGAAAUGAAUUAUUGUAGAAGUAUCAUCUUUUAAAUAUGAUUUUUGUUCUUACACAAAAGUGACAUUUUUUCUGCUGAAUAUGGACAAUAUUUCUCCUAUUAUAAAGUUUGAGCCCCAAAAUAUUAAUCAUAUUUAGAUUUUUCUAAUUACAUAUUUACCUGCAAAUGACAAAAUAAUUAUGACAUUGUGCUCUAAUGAUAUAUAAUACCUACAAGUCUGUUAUUAUUUAAAAGUUUAGGUAAAAAGUAGUUGGGAAAUAUAUUUUUUUCUUAAACUAUAAGGUCCUAAGGUACCUUUAAAAAAAAUAAAAGCUAUAUCAAAACCAUCAAAUUCUAAAUAAGAUAAUCCAUUAAAUAUGAUUUUAACGAUAUUAUCUUGAUUUAUGGUUUAUAUUAUCCAUUUCCACCUCCACUAAUAUCUGGAAGACAAACAUAAAAACUAAUUUAUGACACGAGAUCUCCAAUAAAUAAAUUACUUGAUAUAAUAUAAUAAUAUUUACAUUAAAAUUUAAUUAUAUAUAUAUUUUUUCAUUUUGUGGUGAAAUUUAUAACUUCAAUUUUCCCAUAUUUAAUUACUAAUUUUUAUAUUUUUAAUGUAUUUUUAAAAUUUUUAAAAAAUUAUGCAUUACUCUUGUUUAUUUUCUAAUUGCACAAUUUUAGUUUUUAAUUUGACAAUUAAUAUUCUCAUAUAAAAAAUUUAUACUAAAAACUUAUUUAGACACUAUUUUUUAAAUAAUACAUCAAUAUUCCAUGCAAACAUAAAUUUAAUUAAAUAUAAAAAUAACUAAAAUUGUAUUAGCAUGAUAUAAUUUCAUUGUGAUUGAUUUGAAUUUAAGUAGUGUCACGCUAGAUGACUUUAUUUAAAAUAAAAUAAAAUAUUAAAUUUUAAUUAACAUUAAUUAAAAUUGUGUGACUCAAACAUAACUUUUUCUCUAACACUAUUGACAUAAUUUAAUUUGUACAAAUCCAAACUCAUUCAUAACGUCAUGUUAAAAAAAUGGACAAUAUUUUCAAAAUUUGUCAAUUUUGAUAAUUUUUCUGAAAAAAUCAACUUAUUUGAUUAAAAAACCCGUGUUUUCCACACCAUUGUGAAUAAUAAAUGUUAAUUCUUGUUUUUCAAUUUGAUGGAUUAAGAAAACAUUUAUUUUUAAUUUGGAGAAGUAAAAUAAAAAUUCACCUAAAUACAAAAGAUUAAAAAAUAUUUUAACUAAAAUAUUUAAAAAGUGAAUUUCUACAUUAUUAUUUUAGAUAAACAUAUUAUUACUCUUCUAGAUAUGGUUAAUCAUGUCACUAAAUGAUAAAAAAAAAGCAUUUUCUUAAAUUCAAACCGAAAAGAAUAUUUUUUUUUAAAAAAAAUUUAGGGAUUAACAUAUGUUUUGUUUAUAUUAUAACUUUAUUUUAUUAUUAUUAUUAUUAUUAUUUAUAAUUAUUGUUGUUAUUAAUAGUAUAAUUAAAUAUUUUUGUUAGAUAAUUUAUGUAAUAUUUGAUAUGAGAAUCGAUUCUCCACGUAUCAUAUUAAAAAAAAUCUAUUUUAAGUAUAUGAGAAUCAUUUUUUCUUGAAUAACAUAUGAGUGGGAAUCGAUUUUUCUUUUAAAUAGCACAUGAGCGAGAAUUGAUCCUCUCUUGAAUAACACAUGAGUGAGAAUAGAUCCUCCUUUGAAUAACACACGAGUGAAAAUUGAUUUUGGUUCCUAUUGAAAGCAUGCCAAAUUGAUUUCACUCACCUCCAAUGUGCUUUUUUAGUGCUUUCUUUUUUCUCUUUAUAAGUGUCUCACUGUCAUGGGUAUCACAGUAAAAUACUCUGGUCUACCUGAAAAUCACCUUGAAUCCUUGCAUAUAAGAGAAGAAUAAGAAUUUCACUUCACUCAGACAAGUACCUUUAAAUUAGUUGAUCUAAAUAUACCAGUCACUCACACAAAAUCAGACUUGAUCUAGUUACACUAUUAAGAGAAAGAAUGACCGAGAAAGGUGGCUGAUUGUAAGUGAGACAAGUAAAAAAAGUCAAAAGUAUGUUAAAUGGGUUACUAAUCAUGUAGAAUUUUUUUAAAAAUUAAUAGUUUUUAAAUUUUAAGAGCCACUAAAUUGUAGAAUUGAGUAAAUUCAAACUUACUUUCUUCUCAAAUAUCAUAUGUUAUCAGCAGAAAACAUGACACGUGGAGAACAUACAAUUUGCCUCUACUUUCCCUCAUAAUCAUUUCUUUCAAACCACCAAAUCCAAGUAGUGACUCACCCAAGUGACAAUAAGAACCCAAAUACGUUUGUUGUCAUGGAAAUGCUAAAAUAACUCGUGGAGCUUUUGAUUUGAUUUAGAAUGAUUUUUUUUAUACUUCUCUUUUUCUCUCACUUUUAUUUCAUAACUCUUUUAAAUAAUAAAAUAUUAUAUUCAACUAAUAAAAUAAAAAUAAAUGAAAUUUUAAAAUAAAAUAAUAUUAUUAUUGGUUGUAAAGUUGAGAGUAUGGAAAAAUUAGAGUGUGGAAAAAUCAGAGUUUCAAAGUAUCAUUCUCUUUUUUUUAUUAUCAUAAGUAUAUGAGGCACUAGAAUGCCUCAACAAGUGUUUUCCUACCUAUUUACACUGUUUGUAUCUUUCUACAAGUGUUUUCUUGAAACUUUUGUUUAAUCUUUAAAAAAACAAUUUGUUGAGUGCCAUGACAAAAAAAAGUUUUGAUUAGAGUGUUAUAUGUUGACUUGAUUAGCUGUAAGAAUCAUAUUUUAAUGACAUAUUGUAUACAUCGGGAAUAUAUUUAAAAUUAGUCUCAUUUCAUAAAUAAUAUAAUUCAUCACCACAGGUUACAAAAGAUAAGCACAUUUAGUGUUGUUAGACGUUAUCAUGCAGCCACUUGCAUAAAAUAAUUGCUUUAGAAAGAUUAUUAAGAUAUUUCAUAAUUAUAUAUAUAACUAGUUUUAAAUUUCAUUUUAUAAAGUUGAAUUAAGCUUAACAUCCAUUUUUAUCCACUUUUUAAUAUAAUAUUAAUUUUGUAAAGUUGAAUUAGAUUUAUAUAUAGUAUCAAAGUUUAUUUUGAAUAUAUUCCAACUAGAGUUUUUUUUGAACUUAUUAGACCAUCUGUUAUACGAGAGUUUGUUGGACUUAUUAGAUCAAAUCAACUAUUUAUAAUACAUAGUUUCACUCAUUAGUUGGUAUAUCGACAAGUGGAUGCAAACCUCAUCUUAUAAAUCAAUUUUAUAAAAUUUGAGUUAGAGUUAAAAUUUAUUUUUAAUAAAAAAAGAAUGUGCAAACCCUAAAUUUGGUCAAAAAUUAAUUUUUUUUAUUUGAUCUUUGUGUUCCCUUUGAAGAUUUGAAAAGAUAUGUAACAGAGAGCAAAGGAGGGGAAUAGUCAACUAUUACGAUAACAGGGCAAUCAUGUUUCUUUUAUUUAUUCUACUCACUAGAAAAACUGCGAAAAAAAAGGCUCGUCGUUUUGUGUGACAAAGAAAAUGAAAAGUAUACAUUACGGCAAACAAAAUGUACCAAACUAUAAUGUUACAUGUUACAUUAUUAAUUAAUUUUUUUGUUUGAAGCUUGACUACAACAAGAUCAUGUUCUACCAUAUUAGUCCUACUUCUGAGUUAGCACCAUCUGUUUCCCAUCUUUCUCUGCCUUGCUCGUGUUCUCUACCGCCGCCAUUUCACUUUCCGACACGGUGGCUGCAUCCCGGAAUCUCUUGUAUAUGUCACUACUGUAAAACUUUCUUGUCCUCGCCACCAAAAUCAGUGAAACAAUGGCACCAAAGAAAGUUGCUGCUGCGAUGACAAUGAAGGAUAGCCUGAAGCAAUCGACCCCGAUACACUUCAAUUCCUGCCCUUCCUUUCUUUGAAGCCCCAACGCUGCGAGUUGCUUCUUUGCUUCUUUGUCAUACAAAUAACCAGUCAUUUUCACAUUAAGCAGAUAUAACCCCAGUGGACUUGCUACGCUUCCAAAAUUGUACAAGGUUGCGUAAUAUUUUAGUCCAAAAAGUUCGGAGAUAAUGGCAAAAAGUAAAGGCCACUGAGCGCCAAAACAGAACCCGAUAAUCACCGAAGCAGCAUAGAGUCCAUUUGGCACAUCAAACGCUAUCAGAAGAUGGCCAACACAUGAUACGAGCAGAGUUAAAGUAAGCAUAAGAGGACGGGGAAAUUUGUACUUCACUAGAAAAUGUUCAGAAACAAAUCCAGAGAAAACCCGUCCCAGGUAAUUCCAAAUGCUCACCAAGGACACAAAGGUACUUAUACUUUUCUUAGGAUAUCUGAGAGAGGAUCCUAUCUGACCCAAGUUGUCUAUUGCAGUCAACGUGCCCCCAACACCACAUAUGCAAGUCAUGAAAAGUAUCAACAUGUCGAUGCUGAAUAGUGCUUGGAGUAUUGUAUAGUCCUCGCCUCUUUCCGGUGGACUAAACACAUUUUCGCACCACUUGGUGUCGCUGGAAACUGCAGUCUUCCCAUCAGUGGCCUCAUUCGGUUUCACUUUUUCACCCUCGGUGACGAUUUUCACCGGCGAGGGGUCAACCAGAGCAAGUCUUUUACUCUGCCAGAUCUUAUGUUCUUCGAUAGAAACCACGAGAAGUGGGAGGAAGAGCAAGAAGAUCACAAUACCAGCGCUCACACCGUACUCACUCUGAGUGAAGUUCACCCUUUUCUGUAUUGUAAUCAUGACCAAAAGAAACCCAGCAAGGCCAAGAGAAAUGUAGAGAAAGUUGUAGAAAACCUUGAGCUCGUUCAGCUGCCUCACCGGCUUCAUGUAGCGAAUGGUUCGAAGGAAAGCAAAGGAAAUAGCAGCUGGGAGCCAACCUAUGAGCAAAAUCAAAGCCCUUGUGUCGUCGUAGUAGAUAGCAGAGUACAAUUGUGUGAUGAUUGCACCACUGAGACCCACGUAGCCUUUGAGAAUGCCCAACACAGCCCCACGGCUUUCUGGAAAGUUCUUGACACACGUGACUAGAGAACCGGUGUUGGCAAAGGACUGAGAGUUAGCACCUAUGCAGAUGUAGAGACACAUCUGCCACACCUGGGGUCUGGCUAUUUUCUGGGUGACCGAGAGCCAAAUCAUGAAGUAACCAAAGAAGUUCAGGACAGCACCAAUGGUUAGGACCACCCAAGGUGGAGUGAACUCGUUGAUAAGGCCGGCGAGGAUUCCAACGUUGCUACCCAAGUCCUUGAAGAAACUGAGGAGAUUGAGGGUAGAUUGGUCGUAGCCAAGGGUGGUUUUGAUGUCGCCGGAGUAGAGGGCGAACAUGUAGGUGGCUCCGGCGGCAGCCAUGAUUAGAAAGGAGGCAAAGACGACGAACCAUCGACCAGUGAUGACUUGGAGGGUGAGACUCUUCAUGUCUCCCCAUCCAUGAACACCAACGGAACCUGCAGGUACCCCCAACGCCAUGUUUGUGGAUAGCAAGCACUGGGUAGUAGAAGAAGGUGCCUACAAAUAGAAGUCAAAGAAUGUGUCUCUGUGUUGUGAGAGCAUGCAUUAAAUAUAUAUAGACUUUCUUUCUCAUGACAACCUUGUUCUGUUCUACAACCUUUCUUUCGUUAUGAAUGUGUCAUUCUUUUUUUUUUUUCCUUUUUUUAGAAUUGUUCUGUUCUCACUUGGGAUAAGCAGCAACAUCAUCAUGGGAGAAAGAAAAAAGUAAAACACGUACGAGAAU